AACGGCGAGUGAAGCGGCAAAAGCUCAAAUUUGAAAUCUGGCUCCUUUGGGGCCCGAGUUGUAAUUUGCAGAGGAUGCUUCGGGCGUGGCCGCGGUCUAAGUCCCCUGGAACGGGGCGUCGCAGAGGGUGAGAAUCCCGUCUUCGGCCGGCCGGCUUCGCCCAUGUGAAGCUCCUUCGACGAGUCGAGUUGUUUGGGAAUGCAGCUCUAAAUGGGUGGUAAAUUUCAUCUAAAGCUAAAUAUUGGUCGGAGACCGAUAGCGCACAAGUAGAGUGAUCGAAAGAUGAAAAGCACUUUGAAAAGAGAGUUAAACAGCAUGUGAAAUUGUUGAAAGGGAAGCGCUUGCGACCAGAGUCGGCCGUGGGGGUUCAGCGGGCAUUCGUUGCCCGUGCACUCCCCCACGGGCGGGCCAGCGUCGGUUUCGACGGCCGGUCAAAGGCCCCCGGAAUGUGUCGCCUCUCGGGGCGUCUUAUAGCCGGGGGUGCAAUGCGGCCAGUCGGGACCGAGGAACGCGCUUCGGCACGGACGCUGGCUUAAUGGUCGUAAGCGACCCGUCUUGAAACACGGACCAAGGAGUCUAACAUCCACGCGAGUGUUCGGGUGUCAAACCCGUCCGCGCAGUGAAAGCGAACGGAGGUGGGAACCCUUAAGGGUGCACCAUCGACCGAUCCUGAAGUCUUCGGAUGGAUUUGAGUAAGAGCGUGGCUGUUGGGACCCGAAAGAUGGUGAACUAUGCCUGAAUAGGGUGAAGCCAGAGGAAACUCUGGUGGAGGCUCGCAGCGGUUCUGACGUGCAAAUCGAUCGUCGAAUUU
rnacentral:rRNA from 1 species